AAUAUUUGUCAGCUAACAAUUGAAUGGAAGAGGAUUUCUUGAAUAAACAAAAUUUAGAAAAUUCUGUAUUCUUAAAAGACUAAGGGUCUGUUUGAUUUGCAGGACCAGCGUUUGGUUCGGUGGAAACGGAAUCCGAUUUCCAUUCCGGGCGGAAUGGCAAUCCCCCAUUUGAGGGAAUGGCCAUUACCGACCCACGCCCCCGGAAAAAUCAAAAUGACAAAAAACCCGCUAAAACCUCAUUCCCCUUUCUCUCUCGUCACUCCCUCCAUAGGCAGCUGAAGUUCGAAGUAUUGAUCUGAACUGAAACUCCGGCAACGGUGACGAUGAGACCAGACCAAACCACAGCAAGAAUGUUUGUAUCAAUAAAGAAAGUCAUACUAUCAAGGUCCCUUGAAUGGAACCAUCCAUGUAGUUGUUGGGGGAAGAGGCGCUAGCCUUGCAGAAUUCACUACAAUACAUACUAGAUGGAGUUAUUACAAGGACCAGGACUUGGGAUUCAUAAAGCUUACAACAUUUGACCACUCAAAUCUGUUGUUUGAGUACAAGAAUAGCAGUGAUGGAAAGGUCUAUGACUCCUUUAGAAUCUCACGAGAUUAUAGGGACAUUAUGGCUUGCAGUGUUGACAGUUGCCCAAGAAUGACAUUAGCUUCUUGAAGAGAAUACACUUGGGUAUCUAUGUAAACUUUUACUCGUAGUGGUAAAUUGGCACAUCUCUUUCAUGUUCCAGAGAAAAAUAAACUCUAGUAUCCUAGUCUUUGCAAACCAAGAGUCUAGACCAUGAAGAAAUAACUCGGUUUUCUGCAAAAUUGU